UCAAUUCAAUUAAUCAAGGAUAUGAUCAGGAACUACAAGCACGUGGAUUUUAUUUAAAUAAUUAAAAUCAUGAAGGAAUUAAAAUGCUAACACCUAUUAAUUUCUAAAAUUAAAACUAAAAGGUUAAUCAAAAUCUAAUGUGAACAUGAUUAUUAAUUCUUAAAAAUCUAAAUUGGAAAUUCUAGACUAAUUUACUUAACUUCUAAUGUGAACCUAAAUGUAUUAUUAUUAUUAUUUUUCUAUGUGUUUUUUAACAAAGUAAAAAAAUAUAUUUUUUAUGUGUUAAAAAUACAUUAAAAGUGUACCAACAUAUUAAAAAACAAAAAAUUAAAAAUAACAAAAAACGAAAUUAAAGCAAAAUGAUAAUAAAA
rnacentral:lncRNA from 1 species